GACGAACGCUGGCGGCGUGCUUAACACAUGCAAGUCGAACGGAAAGGCCCUGCUUUUGUGGGGUGCUCGAGUGGCGAACGGGUGAGUAACACGUGAGUAACCUGCCCUUGACUUUGGGAUAACUUCAGGAAACUGGGGCUAAUACCGGAUAGGAGCUCCUGCUGCAUGGUGGGGGUUGGAAAGUUUCGGCGAUUGGGGAUGGACUCGCGGCUUAUCAGCUUGUUGGUGGGGUAGUGGCUUACCAAGGCUUUGACGGGUAGCCGGCCUGAGAGGGUGACCGGCCACAUUGGGACUGCGAUACGGCCCAGACUCCUACGGGAGGCAGCAGUGGGGAAUAUUGCACAGUGGGCGGAAGCCUGAUGCAGCAACGCCGCGUGCGGGAUGACGGCCUUCGGGUUGUAAACCGCUUUCGCCUGUGACGAAGCGUGAGUGACGGUAAUGGGUAAAGAAGCACCGGCUAACUACGUG
rnacentral:rRNA from 1 species